AACGAACGCUGAUGGCGUGCCUCAUACAUGCAAGUCGAGCGGUCCUUUCGGGACAGCGGCGAACGGGUGAGUAACACGUAAAUAAUCUGCCUCUAAGUUGGGGACAACCAUUCUAACGGAUGGCUAAUACCGAAUAUUGUUUGAGAUUCGCAUGAAUUUUAAACGAAAGGCGCUCUUCGGGGUGUCGCUUAGAGAUGAGUUUGCGUCCCAUUAGCUUGUUGGUGGUGUCAAAGACCACCAAGGCAUCGAUGGGUAGCCGGCCUGAGAGGGUGAACGGCCACAUUGGGACUGAGAUACGGCCCAG
rnacentral:rRNA from 1 species